UGGGGAAUCUUGCACAAUGGGGGCAACCCUGAUGCAGCGACGCCGCGUGAGCGAUGAAGCCCUUCGGGGCGUAAAGCUCUUUCGACCGGAACGAUAAUGACGGUACCAGGAGAAGAAGCUGCGGCUAACUACGUGCCAGCAGCCGCGGUAAUACGUAGGCAGCAAGCGUUGUUCGGAGUUACUGGGCGUGAAGAGUGCGUAGGCGGUUUUCUAAGUUCGGUGUGAAAUCUCCCGGCUUAACUGGGAGGGUGCGCCGAAGACUGGGAAGCUGGAGUGUGGGAAAGGCAGGCGGAAUUCCUGGUGUAGCGGUGAAAUGCGUAGAUAUCAGGAGGAACACCGGCGGUGUAGACGGCUUGCUAGACCAUAACUGACGCUGAGGCACGAAAGCGUGGGUAGCAAACA
rnacentral:rRNA from 1 species